rnacentral:rRNA from 1 species
GAAUAGUACCGUGAGGGAAAGGUGAAAAGAACCCCGGGAGGGGAGUGAAAUAGAACCUGAAACCUUAUGCCUACAAGCAGAUAGAGUCUUAAGAGAGAUGAUAUCGUACUUUUUGUAGAACGGGCCAGCGAGUUAUGGUGUGCGGCAAGGUUAAGUAAUGAAGUUACGGAGCCGUAGGGAAACCGAGUCUGAAUAGGGCGGAUAAGUCGUAUGCCAUAGACCCGAAACCAGGUGAUCUAUCCAUGGGCAGGUUGAAGUGAAAGUAAAAUUUCAUGGAGGACCGAACCGGGUAGCGUUUAAAAGCUAUCGGAUGACUUGUGGAUAGGGGUGAAAAGCCAAUCGAACUUGGAGAUAGCUGGUUCUCCUCGAAAUAGCUUUAGGGCUAGCCUCAAUUUAGUUUACAGGGGGUAGAGCACUGAAUACCGUAGGGGUGUUAGACAUUACCGAAAGUUAUCAAACUGCGAAUACCUGAUAAAUGAUGAUUGGGAGUCAGACUAUGUGGGAUAAGCUUCAUAGUCGAAAGGGAAAGAGCCCAGACCACCAGCUAAGGUCCCUAAAUAUAGAUUAAGUGGUAAAGGAUGUUUUACUACUCAGACAACCAGGAUGUUGGCUUAGAAGCAGCCAUACAUUUAAAGAGUGCGUAAUAGCUCACUGGUCAAGUGGUAGAGCGCCGAAAAUGAACGGGGCUAAAAUCUAAUACCGAAGCUGUGGACUAAUAUAAUUAGUGGUAGAGGAGCAUUGUGUAAGGGGUGAAGCUAAGCUGGAAGGCGAAGUGGACUUUACAGAAGAGAGAAUGCUGGCAUGAGUAGCGAAAAGGAGGGUGAGAAUCCCUCCCGUCGAAAGCCUAAGGAUUCCUGAGGAAGGCUCGUCCUCUCAGGGUAAGUCGGGACCUAAGCCCAGGCUGAAAAGCGUAAGCGAUGGACAACAGGUUGAGAUUCCUGUACUAUCUUUGAAUGUUUGAGAGAUGUACUGACGCAGGAGGAUAUGUUGAGCGUGUGAAUGGUAGAGCACGUCUAAGCAAGUAGGUAGAGAAUAGAGGCAAAUCCCUAUUCUUAAUAUCGAGAUGUGAUAGGGAGCGAAAAAUAAGUAGUGAAGCAACAGAUUCCAAACUGCCAAGAAAAGGUACUAUUGAGUGAGAAGAUACCCGUACCAAAACCGACACAGGUAGGCAAGGAGAGAAUCCUAAGACGCGCGGAAGAACCUUUGUUAAGGAACUCGGCAAAAUGACCCCGUAACUUCGGGAGAAGGGGUACCAUUAGAUGUGAAGUACAUACGUAUGGAGCAUAGAGUGGUCGCAGAGAAUAGGCCCAAGCAACUGUUUACCAAAAACACAAGUCUCUGCUAAAUCGAAAGAUGAAGUAUAGGGGCUGACACCUGCCCGGUGCUGGAAGGUUAAGGGGAAAUGUCAGAGCAAUCGAAGCAUAGAACUUAAGCCCCAGUAAACGGCGGCCGUAACUAUAACGGUCCUAAGGUAGCGAAAUUCCUUGUCGGGUAAGUUCCGACCCGCACGAAAGGUGUAAUGAUUUGGGCACUGUCUCAACAAAGGAUCCGGUGAAAUUGUAGUAGUCGUGAAGAUGCGACUUACCCACGAUAGGACGGAAAGACCCCGUGGAGCUUUACUGUAGGCUGGCAUUGGAAUUUGGUAUUAAAUGUACAGGAUAGGUGGGAGACGAAGAAGCGAGAGCGCCAGUUUUCGUGGAGUCAAUGUUGGGAUACCACUCUUUUGAUACUAAAUUUCUAACUUGAUACUCUGAAGCGAGUAUAAGGACACUGUCAGUUGGGCAGUUUGACUGGGGCGGUCGCCUCCUAAAGAGUAACGGAGGCGUUCAAAGGUUCCCUCAGAAUGGAAGGAAAUCAUUCUAAGAGUGCAAAGGCAAAAGGGAGCUUAACUGCGACACCAACAAGUGGAGCAGAUAGGAAACUAGGACUUAGUGAUCCGGUGGUACCGAGUGGAAGGGCCAUCGCUCAACGGACAAAAGCUACCCCGGGGAUAACAGGCUUAUCUCCCCCAAGAGUUCACAUCGACGGGGAGGUUUGGCAC